GCUUACGGCCACACCACCCUGAGCACGCCCGCUCUCGUCUGAUCUCGGAAGCCAAGCAGGGUCGGGCCUGGUUAGUACUUGGAUGGGAGACCGCCUGGGAAUACAAGGUGCUGUAAGCAU
rnacentral:rRNA from 1 species